UACGUAGGGGGCAAGCGUUAUCCGGAUUUACUGGGUGUAAAGGGAGCGUAGACGGUAGUGCAAGUCUGGAGUGAAAGGCGGGGGCCCAACCCCCGGACUGCUCUGGAAACUGUGCGACUAGAGUGCAGGAGAGGUAAGUGGAAUUCCUAGUGUAGCGGUGAAAAGCGUAGAUAUUAGGAGGAACACCAGUGGCGAAGGCGGCUUACUGGACUGUAACUGACGUUGAGGCUCGAAAGCGUGGGGAGCAAACAGG
rnacentral:rRNA from 1 species